rnacentral:rRNA from 1 species
CACGUAGGGGCCGAGCGUUGUCCGGAGUUAUUGGGCGUAAAGCGCGCGCAGGCGGCCUCGCGCGCCCGACGUGAAAGCCCCCCGGCUUAACCGGGGAGGGUCGUUGGGGACGGCGGGGCUUGAGGGCGGGAGAGGUCGGUGGAAUUCCCGGUGUAGUGGUGAAAUGCGUAGAGAUCGGGAGGAACACCUGUGGCGAAGGCGGCCGACUGGGCCGACCCUGACGCUGAGGCGCGAAGGCGUGGGGAGCGAACGGGG